CAUUAGCUCAGUUGGUCAGAGCAACCGGCUCAUAACCGGUUGGUCCUGGGUUCGAAUCCCCG
rnacentral:tRNA from 1 species